UACAGAGGGUGCGAGCGUUAAUCGGAAUUACUGGGCGUAAAGCGUGCGUAGACGGCUAUCUAAGUCGGGUGUGAAAGCCCCGGGCUCAACCUGGGAAUUGCAUUCGAGACUGAAUAGCUAGGGUGCGGUAGAGGGAGGCGGAAUUUCCGGUGUAGCGGUGAAAUGCGUAGAGAUCGGAAAGAACACCAACGGCGAAAGCACUCUGCUGGGCCGACACUGACACUGAGAGACGAAAGCUAGGGGAGCGAAUGGG
rnacentral:rRNA from 1 species